rnacentral:rRNA from 1 species
UACAGAGGGUGCUAACGUUGUUCGGAAUCACUGGGCUUAAAGCGCACGUAGGCGGCUAGGCAAGUGCGAUGUGAAAGCCCCCGGCCCAACCGGGGAACUGCAUCGUAGACUGCCUGGCUUGAGAGCGGUAGGGGAGACUAGAACUCCUGGUGGAGCGGUGAAAUGCGUAGAUAUUGGCAGGAACACCGGAGGCGAAAGCGGCACACUGGGGGAUAACUGACGCUGAGGCACGAAAGCCAGGGGAGCGAACGGG